ACAAAAUAUUUUAAUGUUUCUAAUUAGAUUGUUUGUUUUUAAUAACUUACAUUUCUAAUAUGGAUUACUUACGCACAAUAUCACAUCAUAUGCAAAUCAUUUUUUGACAAUACACAUUUAAUACAUUUCUUUAAACGAUUUCAUUAUUUAUUAUGCAAAAUAUUGUGCGUCAUUAAUAUGAAAAAUAAAUCAACUGUAUAUAUAGGGGACACCCAAAGUUUUAAAAUACAAACAUUCUCUUUUCAUUCUUUAAAGUAUUAUUCACAAAUCUCUCCUCUCAUACUAUUAAUGUAUUACGACGAUGCUGCUUGUGUGCUAAGAAAAAUGUGUUUACACGCAAAGGCUCUCAUCUUUCAUCGACUCUGCCACCCCCUUUGCCUUGAAAGUUCAAUAAACCUGUACAGCCUAAUAAAGGACUAACCCGCCAAGGCAAUGGGCACUCAGAAGAGCUACGUUGUGUCAUUGCUGUUAUUCGACAUGGCGAUCGAACUCCAAAACAGAAGGUGAAACUAAAUGUUACAGAGGAGAAACUGUUAAACCUGAUGCUGAAGUACAAUGGUGGAAAGCCAAGAGCUGAGGUGCGAGAGGCUCCAGCUUUUCUGUCAUCCAUCUUUUAUCAGAGCCUUUAUUCACUUUAUAUAUUUUUCUUCUUUUUGUAGACAAAACUAAAAAGUGCAGUCCAGUUGCACGACCUAUUAGAUGCAACAAGAAUGUUAGUUCCCCGUACAAAGUAGAAUCCUGAAUUCAACUCUUUGUGUCUUGUCUCCAAAAAGCAUGUAUGGUCUAUCUUUUCCAUGUGUUGAAUACUGGUAACGACAAUAUGGUCUUCCUUUUUUUAUAUGUAGACCAGGUCGUGAUCCAGAAGACCGUGAACAUGCUGAGAAGCUUCGCCAAGUUAAAGUAGUUCUUGAAGAGGUUCUUUAGUACUUUUUUUUGUUGAAUAUAGUCCGGGAAAAGUAUUACAUAGUAUCAUUUAGUAAUACUAUCUUAUAUCAUUUUUUUUUGUUGAAUAUACUAUCUUAUAAGUAAGCUAGCAUUAUGCAUUUUUUAUUUAAUUCAUGAGGUCAUUUUCUCACAGCAGAGAACCUUUUGGAAUGGCGCAGAGAGAAAAUUUCUCAUGAAUAUACAGGAAGGUUCAACUGAAGCCGCUGAAGUGGGAUGGUGAAGGCGAAGAAGAAAGAAACUGUAGAGGCCCUUAUGAUUCUUAAAUACGGCGGUGUUCUAACUCACGCUGGUAGAAACAUGUGUUUACAUACUCUACCAUUUAAUUUGUCAUUAUUAUAUAUAUAUAUGUUUUCCAAAUAUGGAAGAAUUGUUUAACUUAUUGAUGUUUGCUUAAUCUGCAUGCAGGCAGAAGAUCUUGGUAGAUUCUUCCGAUACAAUAUGUAUCCAGGUGAAGGGACUGGUUUGCUUCGUCUCCAUAGUACAUACCGUCAUGACCUUAAAAUUUACAACUCUGACGAGGGACGUGUUGAGGUACGUACACCUUUUACAUUGAUACAACUGAAGAUAAUAAAGCAUAUGUGUUGGGAAAAAAAAUAAUGUUUGAACUGGUUUGCAUAUGUUGACCAGAUGUCUGCAGCUGCUUUUGCUAAAAGCUUGCUUGACCUAGAAGGACAGCUGACGCCAAUCCUGGUUUUUCCUUCUUAAUAUUAUAUUGCUGGUGCUUAAUUUGCAAUGUCAUCAUGUGUUUAUUAAUAAUGUAUUUUUAUCUUUCUUGCUUCUCAAGGUUUUUUUGGUUAGCAAGGACCCUUCCAUGUUGGAUGGUCUUGGUACUGCCAUCAUUGAAAUGGAAGCUGCCAAGGUUUGUUCCAUGACUUGAGUCAUUUUUUGAAGUGUGUGUAUCAGUCAAUCAACAAGAUUGAUUUCAUUAUAAUUAGACUAUAUAUGCAGGCUAGAUUGAAUGAGAUUGUAACGUCUGGCAAAAAAAUUAUCAAUGAAUUACUACUAUUUAUUAUUAUAGUCCAUAGUAGUAAUUAUCAAAUCAAAUACGCAAAAGGCAAAACAAAAAGAGAGAGGCAUAACAUAAAAUAAGUUAACAUAUUAAAUUGUAAAUAAGCCAAAAUAUUUCAAAGCAGUCAAACAACUUAUAAAAUUAAUAAUCGUGGUCAACUUACCAACAUGGUGCAUAUAUGUCAAAUGGACAAAUCUACGUUUAAGUAACCCAACCUGUAAGGGAUUAAGAUUUUUUUUGUGAAUCUCGUGGACUGAUCUAUCGCAGAUUGGGGUUCAUAGGUGAAGUUUCAAGAAAUUGUUAUAAUUUGAUUGGUCGAUUGUUUUUAAUUUUUAUUUAUUUAAUUUAGAUCUAAAAAUUUAAGAUAAGCCUAAAAUUAUUUAACAUCACUUGCCAUAUAAUCUAACGAAUAUUACAAAUAACAAUUUAUGGAAACUAAUUCUCGAAAUUAUAGAAAGAUUAAUAAUGUUUUAUUUAUUACUUUUAAUAUU